rnacentral:rRNA from 1 species
UUGAAAGGGAAACGAUUGAAGUCAGUCGUGCUGGCGCGAAAUCAACCUUCUCGUCUUGAGAUCACAUGGCGUGGCGAGCCUCAAAACCGUCACGAAGCGUGAACUCUUGGUGAAAUGGAGCACUUUCGUGUCCGCUGGUUAACAUCAAUUUCGAACGUCAUAAAAAGGCUGGAGGGAUGUGGCUCCUUCGGGAGUGUUAUAACCUUUAGCGGAAUGUAGUGUUCGGGAUUGAGGAUUGCAACGAAUACCUUUAGGGCUGUUCCACCUGGCUUCUCUUUGGUAUCCUGGUGACGACAGCUUGCUGACGUCGUUAGGAUUCGCCUUUGAACAGGCUAGAGUGUGAGCAAAUUCGUUAAGGAUGUUGACGUA